rnacentral:lncRNA from 1 species
AGGAACAAAUGUUAUGUUGGACCAAAACUCAUUUGGUGUGUGGAAAUUUAUGAAAACAGGCCAUGAAAUUUAUAGUGCAAAACAUGCCUUUAAGAAUUUUGCCAAAUUGAACCAACUUCAAGCCCCUCUGUUUUGAUGAUGCAAGCCUCAAAUGGAAAAACUUCCAACAUCAAAGUUGUAGGUAUUUUUCAAGACAAUCA